GUAAAUCGAAGAGGCGCAGCCAACAAGAGUAACGAUUUGGAGUUUUUCUCAACGAGGAAGAAUUGCGAAAGGGGAGGUUGCCGAAGCGAUCAUGGAUGAGAAUUAAAUGAUCAGCUGGGUCGGCGCAGAAGAUGCGUCGGACUGUCGUAGGACAAUAAGAGCCUGCGGUGCGCUAUCGACUUUA
rfam:Lactobacillus ingluviei strain DSM 14792 Scaffold4, whole genome shotgun sequence.